CAUUGUAACCCUAAGCCGAAGGCAUCUCCCUUGGUCCAUGACAGCACAAUUCAUGUGUACAGCAAUUGUGACAGCUCGUGCUGUUCCCCACAGGCUGACACACAGUGAGAGGAGAACUGGCAUUUUGGAAGUGGGGCUCCUCCAUCACAUGAGGUGCUAUACAAACGCAAAUUGAAAAUUGCAGUCCUUCUUCAAAACUGCUUAUGGCCCCAAAAGUCUGCUUUGUGACACAUAGCGUCACCACAACCUCCCUCAAGCCACCCAGAGGUGGAUGCACUGCUGUCCCACGGCACCUCAUGCCAGCUUGAAGCAUGCAUGCCAAUGGCAAAGCACCUGGCAAUCCUUCCAAAUAACAGGACAGCAUGGAGGCAAGGUGUUAAUAAAGUGUCACUGGCUCCUUCGCCUGGAACCCCGCGUCGCAAAGAUGGUUGUGAUGUCAAAAGCAGAUGGCUAUGUCGUCAGGGGGGAGAGAGAGAGAACUGGAGAAAACAUCUGAUGUGUGAGCAGUACCGUCUCUAAAUAGAAUAUUUUCCCCUUUUCCCAUGAAGCAUCGUGAGGUUUUUUAGCUCCUAUGUAUUCGUUUAACUCCUUGAGGCUCUAGACUUACACUUCCUUUGCACUAUGCUGCCCUAAUACGCAGCACACUCAAGAUUGCUGUUUCUUUGAGUUUAUUUCUAGGCAGCUAAUCGUUUUGCACCUGUUUACACACAAAACUUAAUAUAGCAGAGAUUAUUUUAACGAAACUUUCAUUCCAAGCUCCUCCAGUUGAUUUACAGCCAACAUACAUACAAAGCUUGAAGUCAACCAGUAAGCACCAGGAUGCCAGGCUUCAAACUUGUACAUUAUAUUUGUACAUUACGCAUCAUACUUCAGAUGGGUGCAUUGUAAUUUUAAAGAACGUAAUCAGACUGCUUUCCUCCUGUCAGAGCACUAUAUAUACCCAAGCAGAUGGGAAAGUUCAGUGGAUACAGCAACAGGUUACUCUUGCACAGUACAGAAUAUCCCAAGUUGGAAGGGAUCCACAGGUAUCAUAGAGUCCAAAUCCUGGAUCCAUGCAGCACCAGCCAAAAUCCAAACCCUACGUCUGAGAGCACUGUCCAAAGACUUCUUGGACUCCAGCAGCCAUUUAUGGUGACUAAAUUUCAGGGCAUCUUUGUCGCCCUUAUUAUCCAUGAACAACUCAAAUGACAAAACAACCAUCCAUUUUGAUACCAUUCCAUAAGACAAACCCUUAGAAUAUAACUGGCAGUCUCACCAACACUAUGCAUGCCAAAAAAAGGAUACAAUAUGCUGUGGAGAACAUACUCUUCUUCUCAACUUUAUAGUUGAACCAACUAGGGAGGUUGUCUUCCAACGUAAAGCACUCUUCCAAACUCAGCUCUAGUUUAAGUUAAUAAUAUGCAGAAAAGCAAGACUGUUCCUGUUACUAGAAUGGGAGAACUGUCCUU